rnacentral:lncRNA from 1 species
UUUUAUUUUCUUUUUGCUCCUUUUUUUCUCCACACCAUCAUAAUUCUGUUAUGAUUGUGUCUUCUGUGUUUCUUUUUGUGUUUGUGCCAAGCAAAACCGUUAUGAUUAGUCUUGGGGAUGAUCGUUUGGUCAUGCUGGAAAAGACAGAAACUUUCUACUCACGAAAAGAACUUUCAUUUUUUCUGUAAGAGCUUUUGAGUUGAUUCUUUUUGCUGAUGAUUGGUACGAAAAUUCUUCAUCCUGUCGUAAUUGUUCAGAAUUUUUGAAGUACCAGAAUUAUACGAAAUAUACAGAUUGCUACAGACUGGU